GACGAUCCGAGCGAACGUUGUUCGGAAUCACUGGGCUUAAAGGGCGCGUAGGCGGGCGGCCGCGUCCGGGGUGAAAUCCUCCCGCCCAACGGGAGAACGGCCUCGGAUACGGGCGGCCUCGAGGGGGGUAGGGGCAGGCGGAACUGUGGGUGGAGCGGUGAAAUGCGUUGAGAUCCACAGGAACUCCGGUGGCGAAGGCGGCCUGCUGGACCCCUCCUGACGCUGAGGCGCGAAAGCCAGGGGAGCGAACGGG
rnacentral:rRNA from 1 species